rnacentral:rRNA from 1 species
UCUUUUAAUUGAAGGCUUGUAUGAAUGGUUGGACAAAAAGCAAACUGUCUUCAACUAUAAAAAUUGAAUUUGACUUUUAAGUGAAAAGGCUUAAAUAAAAUAAAGUGACGAUAAGACCCUAUAAAGCUUUAUAGUCUAAUUUUUUAUUAUAAAUUAUUGAAUUGUAUAACUUAAUUUAAAAUAAAGCUUUUUCGUUGGGGCGACGAAAAUAUAAUUAAAAUAACUGUUUUUACUCCUAUAACAAGUAUAUUUGGUUUAAAUAAAUGAUCCUUUAUUAAAGAUUAAAAGAUUAAGUUACUUUAGGGAUAACAGCGUAAUCUUCUUUGAGAGUUCAUAUCGACAAGAAGGGUUGCGACCUCGAUGUUGAAUUAAGGUUCCUUUAUGGUGUAGCAGCUAUAGUUGGAGGUCUGUUCGACCUUUGAAUCCUUACAUGAUUU